CCCUUAGAUGUCCGGGGCCGCACGCGCGCUACACUGAAGGAAUCAGCGUGGCUUUCUCCCUGACCCGAAAGGGUUGGGAAACCCGUUGAAUCUCCUUCGUGAUAGGGAUUGGGGCUUGAAAUUGUUCCCCAUGAACGAGGAAUUCCCAGUCAGCGCGAGUCAUAAGCUCGCGUUGAUUACGUCCCUGCCCUUUGUACACACCGCCCGUCGCUACUACCGAUUGAACGGUUUAGUGAGGGCCUCGGAUUGGUCUCGGCCCGCUCUUUACCGGGCGGCGCCGUUGGUCGAGAAGACGCUCGAACUUGAUCGUUUAGAGGAAGUAAAAGUCGUAACA
rnacentral:rRNA from 1 species